AUCAUAAACCUAUUCCUUCGGUGUCCGAGUUGUAAUUUGAAGAAGGUAACUUUGGAGUUGGCUCUUGUCUCUGUUCCUUGGAACAGGACGUCACAGAGGGUGAGAAUCCCGUGCGAUGAGAUGCCCAAUUCUAUGUAAAGUGCUUUCGAAGAGUCGAGUUGUUUGGGAAUGCAGCUCUAAGUGGGUGGUAAAUUCCAUCUAAAGCUAAAUAUUGGCGAGAGACCGAUAGCGAACAAGUACAGUGAUGGAAAGAUGAAAAGAACUUUGAAAAGAGAGUGAAAAAGUACGUGAAAUUGUUGAAAGGGAAGGGCUUGAGAUCAGACUUGGUAUUUUGCGAUCCUUUCCUUCUUGGUUGGGUUCCUCGCAGCUUACUGGGCCAGCAUCGGUUUGGAUGGUAGGAUAAUGACUAAGGAAUGUGGCUCUACUUCGGUGGAGUGUUAUAGCCUUGGUUGAUACUGCCUGUCUAGACCGAGCUGC
rnacentral:rRNA from 1 species